UGGGACCACACAUGACAAGGCAAGGGGAUCUGCCAGCAGGAGGUUUGGGGUUUAGUGGGGAACAUAGAGAGGGAAAGUGAUCGUAUAAGUAAUGCGACCCAGGGUGGGAUUCAGGCUGGAAUCAAAUGUAAGAGAGCAACUGUGAAGAGUGGCCAGGACUGGAGGCAGCACUUCUCUGAAGGGAUAACCCGAGACAUUCAUUCAAGUGAGCUGGAGAAGUGAACCAGACACGGCUAGGAGAGCGCCCUCCAGGCUGAGGCCAAGAGGAGGGACUCAGGGCAGGAGCAGGCCCCGCACACCCGCAGCCUGGAGAAGGGCGGCGCCCAGAGGGACAGCCUGGGAGGAAGCAGUGGGGCCGCUUCCUCAGAAGGGAAGCCACCGAAAGGCUUGAGGGUGGCCUGCUCCAAAGAGGAUCUGAAAGCCCACCCUGCUCUGUAGAGAGCGCUGAGGAGGGUGGCACCAAGGGAAGCCAUCUGGAGACCACUGGGGACAUGGCCACCACCCAGCAAGAGAGGCCACGAUGGCGUGGGUCAGCGCCAGCAGUGAAGUUGAGCAGGGUGGUCAGAUUUGGAAUCUCGGAGCGUAGCCUCGCACAACCUACCAAUGGAGUCACCAGAGUUUGACUCUCUUCUGUGACUGUCACUUUUCUAGGAUAAUGGACUUCCAGAGAGGAGUGAAUCCAGGAGAGUCUGUGGUCUAGUUUCCACCCCAGGCGGUGAUCCCUCCUGUGGGCAGGUGGUGAGGGACAGAGCUUCCCUGGCAGGCCACAGAGAUCAGGCUGAACUCAAGCAGGCCUCAGAGAAGACCCACUCAGCUUGCAGAGCUCACCAGCCUGGGCACCAGAGACGAGGUCAAGCUUGCCCUCGGGGAGUGGUCCCUCAGCCUCCCCUGAAGACCCCAGGGCCCUCCAGCCACUCCCCCACCUCUGGCCAGCCUGCCCCACAGUGGCACUUCCUCCCAUCUACAGGCCAUGACUGGUGAGGAACGCUGCUGUGAGCCAGUCACCAGCAUGGCCUGGACCGCCAGCGUCUGCCACGUUGUCACAGGUAAGUGAGAGUUUCUGUCUGACCCUUUCUGGGGUCUUUUCCUAUUUACAGCCUCUGAAAGAAGAAUGACUCAUGAAAGGUCAAUAACUGGCACAGGUGACUGGCUGAUUUGGAAGUGUGUAGGGGAAGGUCACCUUUCCAGGGGUCCCAGCAUCACAUUUUGCAAGAUAAAAGCACAAGCAGGUGCCCCUUGCCCAGUCUGUGCUGCUGUGUGCAGUAAAGAUCUGGUAGCCUUAAGGACAAAGGCUGCCACCACUGUUCAGUGAUGUCCCUGUGGGCCAGGGAGGGGUGGCAGAGCUCAGAAUCAUAGUUGGUCAACACCGAGAUGAGCCGACCCUUCUGUUUGCACAGAAUCCCAGCAUGUGGGGCCACGCCAGCAGUCCACCUGGAGAACUCGCCUCCCCACGCAGUGUUCUCCAGGCCGGUCCCAGGCCCAGGCACGAGCAGCCUCGGCGUCAAGAGAAACUUCUAGCACAGACGCGGUGUGACCGGGGGCUCUGGGCUCUGGCUGGACUUUGUCAACAGCAGCACCAGCAGCAUUUUAGGGCCAGCAGUUCUUUGUCCCGUUCACUGGGACAGGGAUGGCGGCAUCUCUGGCCUAGGCCCAUCAAAUGCCAUCAAAGCCCCCCACAACCAGGACAAAGCAACACGCCUUCAGGCGUCACCCAGGACCCCUCUGGGGCACAAUCGCCCUGGUCAGGAGCCUCUGAUCUGUGAAUCAUCAUCCUCCUGGGGCUUUCCCCUUCCUGUAGGGUCUGGCUCCCACGGGUCCUCCAGUCCAGGUCCCUCGUCCCUUCAUGGCGUCCCUCUCCUCCAGCAGCCUCACCCUGGCCUGCCUGGGAGUGGCCUGGGGCCCCCUGCACUGGAUGGCUGGGUCCUGGUUAGAAGUGACGUGGCCCCCAGGGCACUUGGCCUCGUCCCAGCCUCCCCGUGCUCCCUGGGCACCCUGACCCUGCGUCUUUGCCUGACACCCCCAUUUGCUGGCCUCGCUCGUUCACAGCCAUGGCCGGCCACCCCUGGGCACAGCUCCUUUCCCCGGGAACAC
rnacentral:lncRNA from 1 species